rnacentral:misc_RNA from 1 species
UUUCCGUAGGUGAACCUGCGGAAGGAUCAUUAGUGAAUACAAACGCUUGGGUGUCUCUGCUUCGGCAAGCCCCUCGCAGCCCCUCGCACCCUUCACAUCCAUAACACCUGUGCACUGUAAGAUGACUCUAGGGCUUCGGCCUCUGGGUUGUCUGACCUUUUUACAAACUAUUAUAUGUAACAAAUGUAGUCUUAUUAUAACAAAAUAAAACUUUCAACAACGGAUCUCUUGGCUCACACAUCGAUGAAGAACGCAGC